GGAAGGUCCGGGCGUUAUCCGGAUUUAUUGGGUUUAAAGGGAGCGUAGGCCGGGUUUUAAGCGUGCCGUGAACUGUCGGGGCUCAACCUUGACACUGCGGCGCGAACUGGAGUCCUUGAGUGUGCGGAACGUAUGCAGAAUUCGUGGUGUAGCGGUGAAAUGCUUAGAUAUCACGAAGAACCCCGAUUGCGAAGGCAGCAUACGGCAGCGCUACUGACGCUGAAGCUCGAAGGCGCGGGUAUCGAAC
rnacentral:rRNA from 1 species